UUCGAAUCCACAGAAAAGUAGAAGUAUCAUAAUUUUUUCACAUGAAAGUGAUUUUUAAUCAUACUUAUUUCCUAUAUGCAUCAUUAACUUGAAAUUUAAUCAGGAUAAAAAAUUAUGUAGUAACUUGGUAUACUGAAAGAAAAAUCAUGCUUAAAAUGGAAAUAAAUUUAACAACAACAACAACACAAGAACAAUUGUACUAUAUUUACACAAAUUGUAAAGGGUUUUUCAAAAAUUUCUUCAAUUAUUUUAUUACAGACUUGCAGUGUGUAAACUAUUGCAAAAAUAUUUUCCAAGAAAUUGGUAAAUAGCCAAUUUCUUCAAGAAUAUUAUUUUUAUAAUACACUUUUAUGAUAGUUUAUGAUAUUGCUAUUUGAAUAUUUUACACAUAAAACUGCAAAUGUAAUUGAACUGUGCAUAAAAAAUGUUUUACUAUGGAUUUUUAAUAUUAUUAUUGUUUGCUGCGUUACCAUGCCAAGUAUUAAUGCAUCGAACAGUGUUGCCACACUUCAGAUUCAUCAAUUACCCACCAUUAUUGUAUGUUACAUCAAGAGGCCAUAAAGCAAGAACAAGAACUUUAAGACGAUUUUUAAAGUUAUAGCAAACCAAACAUUAAUAAGAACCAUGCAAGCAAUAGCAGUAGUAUAAAACAUAAGUAAUAAACAACUACACAACUG